rnacentral:rRNA from 1 species
GUCUAUAGCCAUGCUACCCUGAACAAGCCUGAUCCCAUCUGAUCUUGGAAGCUAAGCAUAGUCGGGCCUGGUUAGUACUUGGAUGGGAGACCACCUAGGAAGACCAGGUGCUAUAGGCA